rnacentral:rRNA from 1 species
UACGUAGGGUCCAAGCGUUGUCCGGAUUUAUUGGGCGUAAAGAGCUCGUAGGCGGCUCAGUAAGUCGGAUGUGAAAACUCGGGGCUCAACCCCGAGACGCCAUCCGAUACUGCUGUGGCUUGAGUCUGGUAGGGGAACACGGAAUUCCUGGUGUAGCGGUGAAAUGCUUAGAUAUGACAUAGAACACCGAUAGCGAAGGCAGCUUGCUACACAAUUAUUGACACUGAGGCUCGAAAGCGUGGGGAUCAAACAGG